GACGAACGCUGGCGGCGCGCUUAACACAUGCAAGUCGAGCGAGAACCUGGGCUUCGGCCCUGGGGACAGCGGCGAACGGGUGAGUAACACGUGGGUAAUCUGCCCUUGACAUCGGGAUAGCCCGGGGAAACCCGGAUUAAUACCGAAUAGCCUCCGGAGCCUUCGGGCGCCGGAGAAAAGGUAGCUUCGGCCUCUGGUCGAGGAUGAGCCCGCGGCGGAUUAGCUUGUUGGCGGGGUAACGGCCCCCCAAGGCGACGAUCCGUAGCUGGUCUGAGAGGACGAUCAGCCACACUGGGACUGAGACACGGCCCAGACUCCUACGGGAUGCAGCAGUGGGGAAUCUUGCGCCAAUGCGGGAAACCGUGAUGCAGCGACGCCGCGUGGGGGAAGAAGGCCUUCGGGUUGUAAACCUCUUUCAGGAGGGACGAAGCCACUCGGGUGAAUAGCCCAGAGGGUGACGGUACCUCCAGAAGAAGCCCCGGCUAACUACGUGCCAGCCGCCGCGGUAA
rnacentral:rRNA from 1 species